UAUCAGACGAGAUAGGAGUGGUUC
rnacentral:piRNA from 1 species